rnacentral:misc_RNA from 1 species
CGCGGUACCGGACUGAGCGAAGCGAGGGAGGAUAAGGAGCGCGACCCUUU